AAUAAGAUGGCUGAGGAUUAGGCGGUAAAUUGUAAAUUUAUAAACAAGUGUAAAACUUUCUUAUUA
rnacentral:tRNA from 1 species